UUAUCUUAGGUGGCGGACGGGUGAGUAACGCGGUAGGGUAACCUGUCCUUACACGUGGGGAAUAACACUUAGAAAUAGGUGCUAAUACCGCAUAACAGGGAAAGAUGCAUGUCUUUUCCUUGAAAACUCCGGUGGUGUAAGAUGGACCCGCGUCUGAUUAGCUUGUUGGCGGGGUAACGGCCCACCAAGGCGACGAUCAGUAGCCGGCCUGAGAGGGCGGACGGCCACAUUGGGACUGAGACACGGCCCAGACUCCUACGGAAGGCAGCAG
rnacentral:rRNA from 1 species